CUUUAAGGCUAUUCUGUCUGCCCUCUACAUCUAGGAAGAUAAGCACGGUAGGCCUUCUUAGUAUUUGAACAGGAGAUCACUUGGAAAUCCCAGGGCUGUAUGGU
rnacentral:rRNA from 1 species